AUACUUUUCUCGGCCUUUUGGCUAAGAUCAAGUGUAAUAUCUAUUCUUAUUAGUCUAACAUCUGAUAUAUGGGCCAUGUGCCACAAUGAUAUUAAAUUUAUUUUUUAUGGGGGAGGGUCUAUAAUAAUGGCUUGCCAUUGAUACCCUCAUGUGUUGUCUGGACAUUGCACUACUGCUCAGGCUAGGUGCACCCCAA
rfam:Triticum aestivum genome assembly, contig: Triticum_aestivum_CS42_TGACv1_scaffold_485639_6AS